GAUGAAGAACGUAGCGAAAUGCGAUAAGUAAUGUGAAUUGCAGAAUUCAGUGAAUCAUCGAAUCUUUGAACGCACAUUGCGCCCGUCAGUAUUCUGGCGGGCAUGCCUGUUCGAGCGUCAUUACGCCCCUCAAGUCCCCUGUGGACUUGGUGUUGGGGAUCGGCGAGGCUGGUUUUCCAGCACAGCCGUCCCUUAAAUUAAUUGGCGGUCUCGCCGUGGCCCUCCUCUGCGCAGUAGUAAAACACUCGCAACAGGAGCCCGGCGCGGUCCACUGCCGUAAAACCCCCCAACUUUUUAUAGUUGACCUCGAAUCAGGUAGGACUACCCGCUGAACUUAAGCAUAUCAAUAAGCGGAGGGA
rnacentral:misc_RNA from 1 species